UGGGGGAUAUUGCACAAUGGGCGCAAGCCUGAUGCAGCGACGCCGCGUGGGGGAUGAAGGCCUUCGGGUUGUAAACUUCUUUUGCUCUGAACAAGGCGCACUUUGGGGUGUGUUGAGUGUAGGGGUUGAUUAGCGCCGGCUAACUACGUGCCAGCAGCCGCGGUAAUACGUAGGGCGCGAGCGUUGUCCGGACUUAUUGGGCGUAAAGGGCUUGUAGGUGGCUGGUUGCGUCUGUCGUGAAAGCUCAUGGCUUAACUGUGGGUUUGCGGUGGGUACGGGCUGGCUUGAGUGCAGUAGGGGAGGCUGGAAUUCCUGGUGUAGCGGUGGAAUGCGCAGAUAUCAGGAGGAAUACCGGUGGCGAAGGCGGGUCUCUGGGCUGUUACUGACACUGAGGAGCGAAAGCAUGGGGAGCGAACAGG
rnacentral:rRNA from 1 species